UCGGAUUCAAACCCUCUUCAUUCGAUAUAAAUUAUUGUAAAAUAACACUUGUAUUAAAAAAAAAAAAUCUCAUGCUUGAUGAACAAGUUUAAGUGUGAUAAGAAACAGAAAUUUAAAAAUAAAAUGAAAUAAAAUAAACAAAAAACACGAUGAAAUGUCCAAUAAGAGUUGAGACCCAAAACCCUCCCUAAACCCGUACGACCGGACACAAAAAUAGUCCAAUCCAAUCCAAACCUGUCUAUUCCUCCCUAACUGAAAAUACGAUAAUCAGUAGCAGUUGUGUCCGUACAUUUUGCCCGCGCGUCCUCAGGACGGCUGGGCUGCUGAUUUUCACUCUCCGCCGGCGGCGUCUGACCACCGCCUGCUCUGUUUCAGCCACCAAGAAUAAAGAGAAGGAGAAGGUGAUAGUGGAAUCUGGGCCCACCGGCUCCGGGAAGACCCUCCUCGCUCUGGAGCUCGCUAAGCGGCCCAAUUUGAGCAAAAAUACAAUACCCAGUUGUUGGUUUUUGUUGUUCUUUGUUAGGAUACUGGGAAAAAGGGGAGGAAACUGGGAAAAUUUAGCUUCUUUCGAACUAAGCGGCAAACGGGGUAGUUGGGUUUUCUCUAGAUUCUAACGUGCAAGUAAUUUAGUUUAUUGGGUAUUUAGUAAUAAACCAUUUUGUUUGGUUGAUGAGAAAAUGUAGGAAGGUAAUAGGUAGAAAGUUGACAUAGUUUUAUACCCGAAAUAAUUGAAUUUGUUUCCUUGAGAAUUUUGACUUGUUCUGGUCAAUUUCGUGAAUCAAGCCUGCCUUCAAUCAGUAAUGCUAAGGCCCCCGCUUAUAGACAUUGCCAUGAUUGAAUUUCCAAUCUACUUCAGUAAAAGCGGGUUUUAUUGGUGUAUGGAUAACAUCACUCUCUCACGAGAACAAAGAAAGCCUUAUGGCAUUGCCUUGAUUGAAUUUCCUUUUGCUGACGCUUGUAGAAUUAAUAGGUAGUGCCGUAUUGUCGAAGUGAAUUUGUUUGUUUUGGCUUUUGUGCCACAGGUAUAUUGGGGUCUUGAUAUUGGAUCUGCCAAGCCUUCGCCAGCAGAAAGAGAGGUGCUUGUGUAAUUGAGAAAUUUGUACAUUUGGUGCAGGCAUGAUUCUACCAUUGUAAUUGAAUUAUGGAAUAAUACAUAUGGAGUAACUCUACCGUAUAGGUUUACUCAUCCGAUUCUCCAUUUUUUUUCAGUCUAGUGGAUCACCUCCAUCUGCAUUUCAAGUGCCAUAUGAUUCUUUCCGGAAACAGUGUGAUGCAAAUGACGCUAGUCCUUCAACUGAUGUUGUGGAGGAAGUAAAAUCAAAGGAAUUGGACUAUGAUUUUAUUUAUCUUUUCCUCUCAAUCAAAAGAGUUGAUCGUUAUAAAUCAAUUGACUACCGAUGUCAAGAUAUGCUAUCAGGAAAUGAUGAUAUCUUGUCGGAAGCUAAUUGGCUUCUUGAUUCGGGUCUUCUUCCAAAUUCAAAUUCAGCAACCAGAGCAAUUGGUUACAGACAAUCUAUUCAUCAGCAAAAGGAGGUUCCAACUUUCCGUGCAUGUUUGUGUCAAAAACCUGGUGCGACAAUGAGAGCUUAAUACUCCUUGUGGCCUUGCAGAGUAAGAUUCUCACACAUUACAUUCAGUCAUAGAAUUUUUUUUCAAUUUCGUGUGCAGAAAUUUUGCAAAACAGCAGCUAACAUGGUUUCGCAACGAGCAUAUCUAUAACUGGCUGGAUGCUUCCAAACCCUUGUGCUCGACUUCAUUUAUGAUGCAUACCAUGAUAACACCGAAAAUUUGGUUGUGCGUGAAUCACUGAGGAUGAAGAAAGAAUUAACAAGCCAUCGAGAAGUUGCCGAACUAAAGGCUUAUCGACCCAAAAAUAGGCAUUUUAUCAGACACGAAGAUUGUUCAGACAUUCUAGACUGGAUAAGAAAAACACAGUGCUCCAACAACAAAUCGGAACUUGAUCAUUCACUUCAUUGAGGUUCUAUCUUUGCCAAACCAACCAGUGUUACAUGAUCAUCCACUAUUCCACCUGAGUUGUGCUCAGUUUGUCUCUGUCGGAUCAGAAAAUCUCACGAAACAACUCCGGAAAGGUUAGUCUUUGAUGCUCUGGCUUAAACCGGUUGUUCAUGUCUUAAGGCUCGACCGAUGUAUCGCUGCAGCCGGCCGAGGACUACAUCGGAAAUCAUUUUGUGAGAACUCGUCAUUCAACAUAUGGAUUUCAAAGUCUUGACAUUAGCUCUCUGCAGUUGUUAAAAUAGCAUGAAAAGUUUUGAGUUUGAUGGUAAUUUUGUUCACCACUUAAAAUGUCAUAAACUUGUAAUUUAUAGUGAUUUGGUGAAUAAAUCCACAAGAUUACUAAUCGUUUAACAAUGGACAAAGUGCAUGUGGUGCAAUAUCCUAAUUGAUAGGGUGUUGGGUUUCUACUCAUAAGUUAUGGUAUGAAACUCCCUUCUCCUGCCGCUGGUCGGGCAGCGGGUAGGUGUCUAGGCGAGGCCUAGGCAGUUUUUUUAAUUUUAAUUAAAUUUAUUAUCUAACGUAUAAAUAAAUGUCUUUAUAUGUUUACUUAUACCCAA